UACGAGGGGGGCAAGCGUUGUUCGGAAUUAUUGGGCGUAAAGGGCGCGUAGGCGGUGCGGUAAGUCACCUGUGAAACCUCUAGGCUCAACCUAGAGCCUGCAGGCGAAACUGCCGUGCUUGAGGGUGGGAGAGGUGCGUGGAAUUCCCGGUGUAGCGGUGAAAUGCGUAGAUAUCGGGAGGAGCACCGGUGGCGAAGGCGGCUCUCUGGACCACUACUGACGCUGAGGCGCGAAAGCUAGGGGAGCAAACAGG
rnacentral:rRNA from 1 species